ensembl:lincRNA
UUUCUAAGCUCAGCGGUAGAACACUUGUCUGGCAUGCAUGAAGGCCUGAAUUCAAUCCCUAACACUGUAAAAAAAAAAAAAAAAGUCUGCAACAAAUCAACAGUGAGGAGGUUCCUGUGCUUCAAGUAAACAGAGAAAAAGUGUAAAGGAUAUGAAGUAUGUUACCAGAAGACCAGACGCUGUUAAUGGGCCCACACGGCCACGAACACACCAGCCGGUGGGGAAUUUUAUAGCAUCCAUCAUGGGAUACCGGGGUCCUUAUUAAAGAAGAAAGCUUUUAUGGCAUUUUCCAGAGCACCAUAUUUUCCUGACCCAGCCUGCAAGGAAAGUGCUAAGAGCCCCAAACUAUCUUUUCAACCAUUAACUGCCAUUUCUGGACUGGGGACCGGC